rnacentral:lncRNA from 10 species
AGUCAUACUCCAACCACAUUGAGACAUACUCUCCUUGUCCUUUAAUUGUUUAUAAUUUAAUUUUCUUCUGCUUGAAAUUUUGUCCAUUAUAAGCUAUUUUCAUAUUUGUGAGAAAAUGAAAUCACAGAAUUUCAAAAUUUUGGGGACGAAGAUAUACAACCUUCCACCAAAUCCAGUUUUCUGGUCCUAAGCUUCCCUGAUGGUAUUUGGCAUCUGUUUUUAAGAAAAGGAUGAAGGCCGGUCACAUUGGCUCACGACUGUAAUCCCAGCACUUUGGGAGGCCCAGGCGGGCAGAGGACUUGAGGGCCUAAACCCGGCCAACAUGACGAAACCCCAUCUCUACUAAAAAUACAAAACUUAGCCAGGCGUGGCAGUGCUCACCAGCUACUUGGGAGGUUGAGGCACAAGAAUUGCUUGAACCCAGGAGGCAGAGGUUGCAGUGAGCUGAGAUUGUGCCACUGCACUGUACUCCAGCCUGAGCAACAGAGCAUCCAAGAGGAUGCUGAUGCUCUUGGCAAUGGAAAUCAGAGAAACACUGUUCCUGAAAGCUUCUGUCACUCAAGAAUCCAUGAAACAUUCAUGAACUUCACAUCAGAAGCCAAGCCCAGAAAAUAUGGGUUUAAGGUUUGCCUAUAUGUCCAAUACAAGAGAAAAAAGAACAUUCCACUUCUUUAGAAGGUUCUACUUUGAUCUCCUGAGUCCUCAGAAGGGAAGAUAGUGUUAAUGUAGAAUUGAUAACACAGAAUGCACCACUGCUGUGAUCCUUAUAUCUUGGCUGGCCAUUACCCCUCCACUUGGAAAUGAAAAAGAUAAACUAAUUGAAGCAGUGAGAAGAGAAAAAGGGAGAGGAAGGUGCUAUUGUGGAGGUGCAUACCCAACAGUUUGAUAAUGUAGAGGAAGUGAUAGCUUUGUCUCGUGGAAUCUGGGUCGACCUCACAGAGGAGCUGUUAUUUGUUCUGGAUAUUGAACAGUGACAAGGAUUCAGUGGGAGAGAAAGAGGCGAGGAUUUUAAUGCAACUUGUUACACAAGAUGAACCCAAACAUAUUUGACUUUUUAUUUUCAGAAAAGCUUAAUACAUAGUUUUGAAUAUGGAUUGUCCCACAGGAUAAAUGCAUGAAAAAAGUUGGAAAAGAGAAAUUGAAUUACAUCCUAAUUGUAGUGUUUUCUCAGGCAGAUCAAUUUUAGAAAGAGAACAUUGACUUGGAAAACUGAAGAGUAAUUAUUCUAAAACGGUUGUAACAGUUUACUCCUUUUAUGUUUGCAAACUUCCAGGAUUAGUGAGUUGCAUAAAGUCACAUAAUUUAUUGCGUUGGUGCAAAAGUAAUUGUGGUUUUUGCCAUUAACAAAACCGCAAUUACUUUUGCAUCAGCCUAAUAUAAGUGAAUAAAUUAAUAUUAGAACACAGGUCUAAUUAAAAGGUUCUGCUGUGUUGUGUCCUGUGAUAACACAGAAAACAAACAAAUGGAUAAUUACAGAAAAAUUUUGGAUAUAAAAUUAGCAGGUAAUUUUCUCCCUCCUUUCCUUCCAUCUUUCCAUCCUUCUUUGCUUCCUUUGCUUUCUUCUUUUCCUUUGUUUUUUGUUUCUCUCUCUCUCUUUUUUUUUUUUUUUUUUUUUUUUUGCAAUUUGGAGAAGGAAGUACUUUAAAAGAAAAGUUAAAAGGCAGACAUAGAUAGCAUGAAGCCUAAUUGCAAGAUCUUUUUCAAACAUAUUAGUUUUAGGAAAUAGCACCUGAAUUUAAGUCCCUUAAAAUUGUCUAUGUCUUCACGUCCAAGUCUCUAUAUUUGCAGGGCUGUGUACAAUCUAGACUGAACAUGCUUGACCUAAAAACAGAAGUAAUACCUGGGGCAAAGCACGAUGUGCACCACAGUCUUCUCUCUUUAGUGUGUUAAGAUAAAGUUGAUUCCCAGAGUAGCCUGCCAUCACUAACUCUGAGGGAUGGUGGGCUAAUUUUGAUAGAAGGAGCAGAGGUGGUAGUUAGGAGGAAGGUGACUCAUCAUCAUUGUAUCAGCAGGCAUUGAUGACUGGAAAUAUCAGGGGGCACAGCCUGAAAGAGAAUGGCUUAAUUGGAAUUGAUAGUGGGAACUUGGAAAUCAAUACAUAUGCACUGAACAGAAAAUGGUAUGCUAUAAUCUACUAUACACUGUAUGUGAAACCCAAGCUCCAAAUUUUUCGGCCCAUGCAAUGUCCAGUAAAAUUUCUCUUAGUUACAUUAUAAUUGCAAUGUACAUGUAUUUGAGGAAAAAAAAAGUGAAAGAAAAAGUAACUAAAGAAAAGUGGAAAUGCAAAACUUUGUUUUUAUUAAUGUUAAAAUUUAUUUUGAUCAACUUGCUAUUCUUAAAAUUGACCAAUCUUCUUCCCUUCCUUGCCUCUUCCAUGGUUUAUAGGAUUAUUUUUCAGGGCUGAUCAGUUGGUGUUACAUGUGACUACUAUGCUUAAUGCUAUCUGGCUUCUAACUUUAAGCACUGAAAAAAAGUCCUUCGUAUUUCUCAGUGUGUGAUUGAACUGAGAUGACCAUCCUAAGCCUCCUCAUUACAUAAAUCCUUACCUUCUCCAGAAGCAACGAAUGGUGUUGAGAAUAGCAUAUGUUACUACUCAGCCAUAUUCCAUAGCCUUUUCUCCAAGAUAUUUUUCCAAAGUUGCCCCUUUUCUGAAUCCCUUGCAAGCAAACAAACAACAAAACAAUGGGUAAUAAAAUAAUUGUUUAACUUUCAUUUAUAUGCUCUGAGAUUGAUGUGAUUUUGAUAAAUAACUAUAUUAAAAGACAAAUGGGAGUGGUGAUUUUGUGAAAAGCCCAUGCCUCUGCCCAUGGAAUAUGUGGCUUGGCCUGGAGCUCUUAUUUUACUUAUAUAUUUCUAAGCAGAAUUAUUCAAGAAUGUCUCUUAUUACAGGUCUUGAAACUUGGACAGCCAACAGAAAGGAAGCUAAUAAAUAAAUUUGUCAGAACACGAUUCUCAGUUUCACUUAUUUUGAAUUAAAGGUAACCUGGAAAAUGGAUUAGGAAAACAGCCUAUAAUCAGAGGAGUGACCCCAGUGAGACCCUGUCAUUAAAACUUUAGUGUUGAGCCUGCAAACCUCUGUUCCUCUGAUUAGGCAAUUUACUCCAUUUCCACCUUUCUGUCUGCCAAAACAUUUAGUGGCAAAACAUUUUCUAAUUCUCUAGACUCAUAAAAUGUUGUUUUGAAAAAAAGUAAAACAGAAUGGAUUACCUUUUUAAGCUGUCUAUCAUAAUGUAAUCAGAAAACAUGAGGGAUUAAUAGAUAAUAUUGUAAAGAGGCAAAGGCAGCAGAUGUUAUUUAGAUGAGCAGAAGGUCACAGACCUCUGUUGAGGAUUGAAAGCUUGAGGUACGUGCCUUUGUUCCUCAGUGUGUGUGGAUCAGAGUGAUUACUGAUAUCAGUUAGCAACAUGGUGGAGGGGACAAACUGGGGCUGCAUUUUCACUAUGUUUAUUAUUGCUCAAGGUCAAAAAGUGACUGUGUAGUGCCUCAGUUUUUACAUCUUUGUGUUAUCAAUAUUUUUUUCUAUUACCUUACAAGUUUAUUUUGAUGCUGUAAUGAUGAGACAGUGUUUUGAAAAGUUCUAAAUAAAUAAAAGGGUAUUCUCUAACUUUUAAAUUCUGACUUUGAUAUUUUAAAACUAUAACAGAGUUUCAAAACAUAUGGAGAAAAAACCCAAAUAGAACUCAAAAGAGAAAUGGACAAAUCCGUAAUUUCCAUCAUUAUUAGGGAUUUCAACAUUCCUCUUCCAGUAAUUAAUAAAACAAGCAGACAGAAGUUUAGAAAAACUAUGCAAGACUUGAACAUACUGUUAACCAAAUUGGCCCAGUCCUCCAAUAGUGGAAAUAAAAUGAAAUACUAAAAUAGUCAAACAAAAGGAAGACAGGACAAGAGUUGAACAAGGAUAAAGAAUAGGUGUGACAAAUGAUACAAAUAACAAUCUGGUAAAGUGAAAACCAGCCAUAUCAAUAAUAUAGUAAAGGAAAAUAGUCUAAAUAGAACGGAAAUGUUUAAGAUUUGAAGACUGGAUAUAAACCAAGCUUCAAUGUGAUGAUAUAUACAAGACAGAUAUUAUAAACAUAAAGAUAUAAAAAAUUAAAAAUAAAAGUGUGAAAAUCUAUAUGAUACAAACACUAACCAUAAGAAUGCUGGAGUGGCAUAUUAUAUCAGACAAAGAGAGUAUUAAAGUAGAUAUAGAAGAACAUUACAUAUUGAUAAAAGAAAAUGCCAGUUAGGUCAAGUUAUUGAUGGUAUUUAUCA